CAGGCUUAACACAUGCAAGUCGAGGGGCAGCAUGGUCUUAGCUUGCUAAGACUGAUGGCGACCGGCGCACGGGUGAGUAACACGUAUCCAACCUGCCGUCUACUCUUGGACAGCCUUCUGAAAGGAAGAUUAAUACAAGAUGGCAUCAUGAGUCCGCAUGUUCACAUGAUUAAAGGUAUUCCGGUAGACGAUGGGGAUGCGUUCCAUUAGAUAGUAGGCGGGGUAACGGCCCACCUAGUCUUCGAUGGAUAGGGGUUCUGAGAGGAAGGUCCCCCACAUUGGAACUGAGACACGGUCCAGACUCCUACGGGAGGCAGCAGUGAGGAAUAUUGGUCAAUGGGCGAGAGCCUGAACCAGCCAAGUAGCGUGAAGGAUGACUGCCCUAUGGGUUGUAAACUUCUUUUAUAAAGGAAUAAAGUCGGGUAUGCAUACCCGUUUGCAUGUACUUUAUGAAUAAGGAUCGGCUAACUCCGUGCCAGCAGCCGCGGUAAUACGGAGGAUCCGAGCGUUAUCCGGAUUUAUUGGGUUUAAAGGGAGCGUAGAUGGAUGUUCAAGUCAGUUGUGAAAGUUUGCGGCUCAACCGUAAAAUUGCAGUUGAUACUGGAUAUCUUGAGUGCAGUUGAGGCAGGCGGAAUUCGUGGUGUAGCGGUGAAAUGCUUAGAUAUCACGAAGAACUCCGAUUGCGAAGGCAGCCUGCUAAGCUGCAACUGACAUUGAGGCUCGAAAGUGUGGGUAUCAAACAGGAUUAGAUACCCUGGUAGUCCACACGGUAAACGAUGAAUACUCGCUGUUUGCGAUAUACUGCAAGCGGCCAAGCGAAAGCGUUAAGUAUUCCACCUGGGGAGUACGCCGGCAACGGUGAAACUCAAAGGAAUUGACGGGGGCCCGCACAAGCGGAGGAACAUGUGGUUUAAUUCGAUGAUACGCGAGGAACCUUACCCGGGCUUAAAUUGCAGAUGAAUUACGGUGAAAGCCGUAAGCCGCAAGGCAUCUGUGAAGGUGCUGCAUGGUUGUCGUCAGCUCGUGCCGUGAGGUGUCGGCUUAAGUGCCAUAACGAGCGCAACCCUUGUUGUCAGUUACUAACAGGUUCCGCUGAGGACUCUGACAAGACUGCCAUCGUAAGAUGUGAGGAAGGUGGGGAUGACGUCAAAUCAGCACGGCCCUUACGUCCGGGGCUACACACGUGUUACAAUGGGGGGUACAGAGGGCCGCUACCACGCGAGUGGAUGCCAAUCCCCAAAACCUCUCUCAGUUCGGACUGGAGUCUGCAACCCGACUCCACGAAGCUGGAUUCGCUAGUAAUCGCGCAUCAGCCACGGCGCGGUGAAUACGUUCCCGGGCCUUGUACACACCGCCCGUCAAGCCAUGGGAGCCGGGGGUACCUGAAGUGCGUAACCGCGAGGAGCGCCCUAGGGUAAAACUGGUGACUGGGG
rnacentral:rRNA from 1 species